UGGGGAAUAUUGCACAAUGGGCGCAAGCCUGAUGCAGCCAUGCCGCGUGUAUGAAGAAGGCCUUCGGGUUGUAAGUACUUUCAGCGGGGAGGAAGGUGUUGAGGUUAAUAACCUCAGCAAUUGACGUUACCCGCAGAAGAAGCACCGGCUAACUCCGUGCCAGCAGCCGCGGUAAUACGGAGGGUGCAAGCGUUAAUCGGAAUUACUGGGCGUAAAGCGCACGCAGGCGGUCUGUCAAGUCGGAUGUGAAAUCCCCGGGCUCAACCUGGGAACUGCAUUCGAAACUGGCAGGCUAGAGUCUUGUAGAGGGGGGUAGAAUUCCAGGUGUAGCGGUGAAAUGCGUAGAGAUCUGGAGGAAUACCGGUGGCGAAGGCGGCCCCCUGGACAAAGACUGACGCUCAGGUGCGAAAGCGUGGGGAGCAAACA
rnacentral:rRNA from 1 species